rnacentral:rRNA from 1 species
CAGCCGCCGCGGUAAUACGAAGGGUGCAAGCGUUAAUCGGAAUUACUGGGCGUAAAGCGUGCGUAGGCGGUUUGUUAAGUCUGCUGUGAAAUCCCCGGGCUCAACCCGGGAAUGGCAAUGGAUACUGGCAAGCUAGAGUGUGUCAGAGGAUGGUGGAAUUCCCGGUGUGGCGGUGAGAUGCGUAGAGAUCGGGAGGAACAUCAGUGGCGAAGGCGGCCAUCUGGGACAACACUGACGCUGAGGCACGAAAGCGUGGGGAGCAAACAGGAUUAGAUACCCCCGUAGUCCCUGUCUCUUAUAC